GACGAACGCUGGCGGCGUGCUUAACACAUGCAAGUCGAGCGGUAAGGCCCUUUCGGGGGUACACGAGCGGCGAACGGGUGAGUAACACGUGGGUGACCUGCCCUCAGCUCUGGGAUAAGCCUGGGAAACCGGGUCUAAUACUGGAUAUGACUCCAUGGCGCAUGUUGUGGGGUGGAAAGCCUUGUGCGGCUGAGGAUGGGCCCGCGGCCUAUCAGCUUGUUGGUGGGGUGAUGGGCCUACCAAGGCGACGACGGGUAGCCGGCCUGAGAGGGCGACCGGCCACACUGGGACUGAGACACGGGCCCAGACUCCUACGGGGAGGCAGCAGUGGGGAAUCUUGCGCAAUGGGCGAAAGCCUGACGCAGCGACGCCGCGUGAGGGAUGACGGCCU
rnacentral:rRNA from 1 species